rnacentral:rRNA from 1 species
GAGAGUUAAAUAGUACGUGAAAUUGUUGAAAGGGAAACGAUUGAAGUCAGUCAUGCUAGUGAAAAAUCAGUUUGACGGGUUUUGAGUUCGGGAGUAGAGGCAGGGUCAAACCGUUUCUCUUUUGAACUUGAGAUUUGUUAGAUGUACUUUUUCUUUGGCAGGUCAGCGUCGAUUUCGGAGGUUGUAAAAUACUUGGGGGAAAGUAACUCUGCUUCGGGAGAGUAUUAUAGACCCUGGGGGAUGCAGCCUGCGGGAUCGAGGAUUGCAGCAAAUGCCUUUGGCUUGUCGCCUGAUCUCUGGAUGUUACCUCGCUUUUGACAACAUUCUUGCCACUUGUGGGUACUAAUGCCCAUUAGGUUAGAGCGAUCAAAAAUUUUGCUAAGGAUGCUGACGUAAUGGCUUUAAACGA